UUAAACAUGGGUGGUUAUAAGGUUUGUUAUAUGGGAUGUAUAUGUAAAAAUCCCUUAAAGAUACUAGCCCUCAUAUCAGUAAAGUACUCUAUCAAUGCUGGCUUUAAAAGCCUAAACUAUGCAGAUUCAGUAACCAACAUCAAUAUGAUAUUCAAGAGAAAUCUCAAAUACGAAAGAAACUACAAAAUCAACUACAAAUCCGACAAUAUGAAUAGCUUAUGAAGAAUACACUAGUCUAGAUCCUAAUACAUAUGAAAUUCUUCCUAAGCCAUUAUUCAUUCAACAAAUCCCAUAAUAACCAUGUAAUCUGAAGAAACCAAACUAAAUAAGUACAGUAAUUCAAGAAGAACACGUGUAAAAGGAAUUAAAAGUUCAUAUUUCAUCCAUUGAAAUUGUUGUUACAAAUACAUCAAAGCACUUUGCACUUCAACAGUCAUCAUAGUCCAAGAAAUACCUAGAUAUCAAGAGUAAAAAUGAUGAGAAAUCAAGGAAGCUCAAUGAAGCAAGCAAGUGAAUAAGAAGCAAUGACCAGCCAACAAACAGCGUCAACUCAAUCCAUAUUGAAAUCAGAGAUUCAAAGAAAGAACUUUUGAGUAAGUUUGUUUCUUUUUCAGGAAAGAAAAUCAAAAGCGAAAACCAUUCGACUCUUUCAAACAAUGCAGAAAUUUUGGUCUUUGGGUUCCAAUGUCUGCCCAAAAUUGGAGGAAAAGGAUCCUUAUAUAGGCACUUCUAAGGUAGACCUAUCUUGGUUUGCUAAUUCCCCUUCUACCCUAUGUUUUUCUUAGUCAUUUUACCCUUUAACCCCUUCAAACUAUCUAAGCUCUUCCUUAUCUCUGAAUAAACCAGCCUAACCUUAUCCUCUAGAAGCUUCUCAUAAUAGAAAAUAUUCCCCGGCCCUCAAAUACCCAAGACACCCUGUAUUUUCAUAGAUGAAUCAACUCAUGGGUCAGAUUUGACCCAAGAUACAAACUCGUAUGAACGGGACUCUUUAACCGGGUCAGAGAUGACCACACGGCUAAUACAGAAGCCCAAUCAGCUAAAAUGAUCAAACAAAAAUCAAAUUCUGAUCCAGGCCAACCUAAGAUCUAAUCGAAAGAAAAGGAAAAGGAAAAAAAGAACAAGGCCGAAGAUAGAAAAAAUAAUUUGAUCCAUAGGUAGACCAAUCCAAACCAAAAAUACUUAAUAAAUUUUAAACAAUAACUCGAAACAUAUGGACUAAACCGUGUGAAAUUGAUAAAAAUAAAUAAACACAAACAUACAACAGAGAAUAAGAACACAACAUUUACUCUAAUGCAGUUAUCCAAAAUAGACUAUUAAUAUAUUUUUUUUAAAAUCAGAAUUAGGUCAACCAAACAAUCCAACUGAACGGGAAGAACAGAAAUGUACAUGUAAGCAAAAGGGAAAGCUAUGUACUGUAUUUUCCGGAAACAUUUGAGGGACUCGAUGAACGGUAUCGUUUGACGAAGAUUGUUGGUCUUUGGUCUUGCAUGGAGUUCGGUGGGCUUUGAAAGGAAUCGAAAUUAAUGCUAAUCAAUUAUUCUUCAGGAGAAUAAUCGAUUGGCAUGAGUUUCUAUUCAUUAACAACCAACAUCCGCUUUAACUCUGAUAAGGGGACAAAACUAGGGUUUUCGAAUUUUUUUUGGCGUCAGAUUUGAGCUUUGGACAAACGAGUGAGGAUUUUGGGGAAACUUGUGAAGGAUUAAGAAAGAGUGGUAGGUAGUGAUUGUAUGGUGACAGUUUGGGUGAGUUUGAGAGUCGGCCGGCCGCCGCCGAUAAUUUUGAGAGGAUUCUAAGGCAACCAGGUUAGGGUUCCUUCGGUGAGAUGAAAAGGGGGAAAUGGGG
rnacentral:lncRNA from 1 species